UAAAUACAAAAUCAAAUUAUGUCCAAGGAUUAGGCUUCCAUCUCUGGAAGCACAGGAGCACGUUCUUUUGCCGAAAUUAUUACCAGUAUUCGAUACUGGGUCAUUCAUAGUAUUACUAUAUCUUCCCUAUCUAUUGCACGUUGGUUAUUUCUCAGUAUCGGUUUAGCUUAUGAUGUAUUUGGAAGCCCUCGGCCAAACAAAUAUUUUACAGAGAACCGACAAGGAAUUCCAUUAAUAACUGGCCGUUUUGAUCAUUUGGAACAACUCGAUGAAUUUAAUAGAUCGUUUUAGGAGGCCCAGGGAAAGCCAACAGAAAGAUUCGAUAUUCGAUUCUGACUUUUGUAGAGCCGG
rnacentral:lncRNA from 1 species